GUUUGUUUACACUAUCCACUCCGUCGCGAAGCAGUUGCAAGAACGAAUCUGGAACUCCAGGUGUCAAGACUGCGUGUCAGGUGCAACUUUUUGUGUCUGGAAUGUUGAAUUACGAGCUGAAUAGCCAGCACGAUAUCACAGUGUUAGUAUCCGACUCAAACGGUAGGACCUACUUGGCCAACUUCACGGUCACCGUACAAGAUGUAAACGACCCUCCAACGAACGUGGAAUUAGCCGGUGGAUUGGCGACAGUUAUUGAAAACCAACAGUCAGCUGUAGUAGGAGAACUCGUCACAACCGACGACGACCG